AAUAAAAAUUAAUAUGGCGUUUGAAAACGUUUUAUUAAAUGGCGGAUUAUUAUUAAUCGCUAUGAUAGUUCUUUCUACUGCUAUAAAAAAUGACUUUGCAAUUAAUCGUUAUCAGUCAGAUUAUAUAAAACCGUUACAUUAUGAUAUCAAAAUAAGACUUUACAUCAAAAGAAAUAUUUUUACCCGUGAACAUAAUUCCACCAUUCGUAUUGAUCGUAAAAUCUCAAAUAUAACUAUACGAUUGUCGACUAAUGGUAUACAUAAAAUUUUUUUAAUUGACAAGAAUGAGAAGGUUUACAUACCAAAAUAUGUGGUUUAUAAAAACCACACUAUUUUUCUUGAUUUUAGCAAGACAUAUCAAUCUCAAUAUAAAAAUUUUAUAUUAUUACCUGGUACAUAUAUUUUAAAGAUGACAUAUAUACAUAUCAUGUUUGAUUCAAAGAACUUUGACAAAUAUCACGUAGGCGCAAAUGGAGAUCAAGUAGUGGCCGCGACAGGUAUUAAGAUAAUGAGAUUCCGACAACUACUUCCGUGGCCGACAACUAUUUCAAGCAAGCUGGAAAAGCAAGGAUUCAAAGCCUCUUUUAAUAUUUCCAUUAAGCAUGAGCAAAAUUACACAGUUUUAUCGAAUAUGCCUGUGCUAACAAAAUAUAAAGACAAAAAUUACAUGUGGACAUGCUUUAAACAAUCACCUUACAUGUUCGCUAAACAUUUGACGAUUGUGAUAACUACAUUCUCUAAUAUUGCUUUAUCAUCAAACAUCAAAUUUUGGUGCAGAAAAAACAUGACAAAACUUGUACAAAUUGCGAAAACCAAUGUUAAAAGGAUCGCACGAUAUUUGAUAAAAAGAAAUGUUAUGAAAGUACCAAAAAUGGAUUACGUUGUAAUCAAGGAUUUUAAUCACAAUGUCCCCACGUCUGACAAUCAGACUUGGGGACUCAUUCUGCAAAGAGAUACGUCUAUUAUUUACAAUAAAAAAUUAGAUUCCGCUAUGCGCAAAAUACAAAUUGCACACCUUAUAGCGCAUCAAAUGGCAUCUCUUUGUUAUAUUGAUGCGAUUCUUUGGUCAAAAAAUAGUUUUACUAUGUUUUUAGGAACGUUUAUCUUGGAUAAGAUACGACGAAAUGGUCACAUGAUGGAUUUAAUUGUUGUCCAAAUGCAAGAAUUUUUCCGUUUCGUCAUUCCUUCUUAUGUAAAUCCUUUACUUUCGAUCAACACAAACAUUACUAAAAAUAAAUUACUCUUGUCUUCUUUACAUAACAUGAAAUCAUUUGCAAUGUGGCGUCUGUUACAUUUCAUUUCUAAUGGUAUAUUUUGGACUGGUAUCCGCAAAUAUAUACACACAUAUAAUUCAGGCACGACAAAUGACUACAAUAAUUUAUGGUCCGUUAUGCAACAUACUAUAAAUUCAAGAAAUAGUAAAUACAAAUUGAAUAUAAAGAAUUUAAUAGAUAUUUGGACAACGAAAACAUAUUAUCCUGUACUAAACGUCACGCGAGAUUACAGGAAUGACGCGGUGGAGAUAGUCUUCGUCAAAUCUAUCGAUAUAAUUGAUAAGGAUACAGAAAAUUGGAUACCUGUGACUUAUACAACGAACUCAUCUUUACAUUUUACAAAGGCCAAUAAUUUGUUUUGGUUAAAUUCGUAUAAUCAGAGUUAUAGAAUUGAAGGGAUUAACAGAGAUGAUUGGAUCAUAGUUAACAUACAACAAAUUGAGAAACAUGAUAAAAAUGUUGGAAGCACUUGUUAUAAACAUAGGGUACUAUAAAAGAUCCGGAGACAAUGAUCUUACUAAAUGUUUAAGAGAAGAAAUGAUAAAAUGGGCAUGUAUUUUCGAUAUUUCCGAUUGCCGAAAGAUAGCUACGACAAAAUUGCAGAAAAUGUUAAAUCUUGGACAAAAGAUUGAUUUGUCGCCGAAAGAAUGGAUAUACUGCAAAGGAUCAAUGGUGACGAAUGUUGAAACUUUGCAUUCUUUGUGGCUUUUGUGGCAGGAAACAUUAGAUACUAGAAUUUUAGAAUUUAUGGCUUGCUCUGAAAAUUCUAUUGUUAUUCACAAUUACUUGAAAGACGUAAAAUUAGAGAAAUAUAAAACUGAAUUCAAAGCCAAUGAGCAGGCUUAUAUAUUUCUUUUCACUGUAGCGAAACAUGCAAACAAGGACACGGUGUUUACGAUGAUCUUACAUAAUUUUGACAAUCUAAAACCUAAGCAGGUUAACACAAUUGCAACAUUAAUUGUAAUUAUUACGCAUAUACAGUCCGUACAUAACUUGAAAAUGGUGGAAACUUUCGCGAAAGAUCAUUAUUCACAACAAAUACCAAUUCAAGCUGUUAGAAGGAAAAUAAAGAAACGAAAACAGGAAUAUUCAAGACUUAUCGAAAACUACAUGCUUCUAAUUUAGUCAAAGUGAAGAUAAAGCUAAGAAAAAUAAAGAGCCAAACAUUUGAAUCGAUAGAAGAUAAUAAUUUUACUCGUUGUGUUUAUACGUUUACAUUUAUAUAUUAGUAAUUGUA
rnacentral:misc_RNA from 1 species